AUUCAUUCAGAAACAUGAAACUUUUGUUUUGUAACUAGCAGACUUCCAAAUUGAAAAAAUCAAAGUACAAGUUUCAAAUCAAAACUCACAAAACACACAUUUCAUUCUACAGGUACAAACCUCACAUCCUACAAUGUUACGGAUCAUUUUGUCUCGAUUCUAGCGCCAGUGGGAGUAACUUGGGUGGAACCAAUGAGAGCACGACUCUUAGCUACCAAUCACGUUUCUCGAAUUCCUGUCCAAUCACUGGGAGAGGAGGGCAGGGUUUUGUCAGAGCCGUAAAGAGUUACGACACUCCAAGACUCCUAUGGAAUGGGGAAGUCACGUGGUUCACGUAGUGUCGAAUAGUUCCAAACAGCCCCGCUGCUGCAUUGACUGCAGUUCAUUUCAACUAUUCGGUGUUUCGGAAGGAUUUUCUCCGGUAAGUUGAUGAAAUGUCAUCAUUUUGUUGCAUUGUGAAGCGUUAGCUAACCGCUUCGUUGUCUCCUCACAGAACAAGGCUAUCCCAGCAUGCUUUGCACGCCGGCUGUGGAUUUUCAACAGGCAGAGAAAGGGGAGAGCUAUUAAGUUUUAAACGACUGCAGGUGUCCAGGGUCAGGAGAGGCUUUACCUGUCCUGGGAGAGAGGCCUUCUACUGUCAUCAUGUUAUUGUUAUUUAGCUGUUUGAUAUUUGAACACAUUUAUUAAAACAAAUACUAACUGAGAA